rnacentral:rRNA from 1 species
CCCUGGUUGAUCCUGCCAGUAGUUAUAUGCUUGUCUCAAAGAUUAAGCCAUGCAUGUCUCAGUGCAAGCCGUAUUAAGGCGAUACCGCGAAUGGCUCAAUAUAUCAGUUUUGGUUCCUUAGAUCUUACUCAGUUACUUGGAUAACUGUGGUAAUUCUAGAGCUAAUACAUGCAAUCAGAGCUCUGACCAGUGAUGGGAUGAGUGCUUUUAUUAGAUCAAAACCAAUCGACGGAGGGCCUCGCGUCCGAAGUCGUUAAUUUUGAUGAAUCUGGAUAACUUUUGCCGAUCGCAUGGUCCAGUACCGGCGACGCAUCUUUCAAAUGUCUGCCUUAUCAACUUUCGAUGGUAGUUUCUGCGACUACCAUGGUUGUCACGGGUAACGGGGAAUCAGGGUUCGAUUCCGGAGAGGGAGCCUGAGAAACGGCUACCACAUCCAAGGAAGGCAGCAGGCGCGCAAAUUACCCACUCCCGGCACGGGGAGGUAGUGACGAAAAAUAACGAUACGGGACUCUUACGAGGCCUCGUAAUCGGAAUGAGUACACUUUAAAUAUUUUAACGAGGAACAAUUGGAGGGCAAGUCUGGUGCCAGUCUUUAUAUUUUAGAUAAUUUAGAAUAGUAGUCUAGAAUCUAGAUCCUCUUGCUGACACACCAUGGAAAUAGGCCAGGUUUAUCACUUUAGUUGGCAUGACAAGCUACGUCACUCGCGCUUUAUAUGUCACUCGUGUUAAUGGUGUGUGAUUUGCUCAAAAUAGAGGUAAACUGUCAACCUCAUUUUUUUCGACGUUUUCACAGCUGUAACAGUCUGUUAUAUUAACUUAUGGAAACAAGACGUCUUCCUAAGGCCCGGUAUUGAGUCCAACUAGUGAGAUCUCUAGUGUUUCCUAUACUACAAUAUGGUGCCGAAACAAGGACGGUCAAAGAACGAUAGAGACAAAGGAUUGACGCACUAGAAAUGCGGUGUUGGAGACGAAUGCUACGAGUAUCUUGGACAAAACGCCGCACAAAAGUCUCGAUACUUGAAGUGAAAGAAACGCUUUCAUCUAUAGUCAGAGCGUGUAUACUCAGAUACUUCGGACAUGUCACGCGACGUGGAGUAAGUUGUUCAGGUAAGGGUCAACGGCAGUACUGGAUGCUCCCCUA